rnacentral:rRNA from 1 species
CUAAUACAUGCAAGAUCAGAGCGGACCGACGGGAGCUUGCUCCCUUAGGUCAGCGGCGGACGGGUGAGUAACACGUGGGUAACCUGCCUGUAAGACUGGGAUAACUCCGGGAAACCGGGGCUAAUACCGGAUGCUUGAUUGAACCGCAUGGUUCCAAUCAUAAAAGGUGGCUUUUAGCUACCACUUACAGAUGGACCCGCGGCGCAUUAGCUAGUUGGUGAGGUAACGGCUCACCAAGGCGACGAUGCGUAGCCGACCUGAGAGGGUGAUCGGCCACACUGGGACUGAGACACGGCCCAGACUCCUACGGGAGGCAGCAGUAGGGAAUCUUCCGCAAUGGACGAAAGUCUGACGGAGCAACGCCGCGUAAGUGAUGAAGGUUUUCGGAUCGUAAAACUCUGUUGUUAGGGAAGAACAAGUACCGUUCGAAUAGGGCGGCACCUUGACGGUACCUAACCAGAAAGCCACGGCUAACUACGUGCCAGCAGCCGCGGUAAUACGUAGGUGGCAAGCGUUGUCCGGAAUUAUUGGGCGUAAAGCGCGCG